AUUGAACGCUGGCGGCAGGCCUAACACAUGCAAGUCGAACGAGUGGCGGACGGGUGAGUAAUGUCUGGGAAACUGCCCGAUGGAGGGGGAUAACUACUGGAAACGGUAGCUAAUACCGCAUACCAUCGGAUGUGCCCAGAUGGGAUUAGCUAGUAGGUGGGGUAAAGGCUCACCUAGGCGACGAUCCCUAGCUGGUCUGAGAGGAUGACUAGCAACACUGGAACUGAGACACGGUCCAGACUCCUACGGGAGGCAGCAGUGGGGAAUAUUGCACAAUGGGCGCAAGACUGAUGCAGCCAUGCCGCGUGUAUGAAGAAGGCCUUAGGGUUGUAAAGUACUUUCAGCGGGGAGGCGUUACUCGAAGAAGAAGCACCGGCUAACUCCGUGGCAGCAGCCGCGGUAAUAC
rnacentral:rRNA from 1 species